GUCCUUUUGUGGUUCAUAGGCAUAAUGAUUGGGUUUUCGUGCUCAUGUGUGAGAUGUGCCUCCCUGAAACCUAUUACAACAUCAGCAUAUUACCUAUCUGAUA